UGAAAUUACUGACCGGCGUAUGAUAUGCUUGUUUACAUACCGGCUAUUGUUCCAUUUGAUUUUUCCUUUUUGAGUUCAUCUACCUCUUUUAAGAAGUAAUUAUGUACUUGUUUUGUCUGACCUUAACCUUUCAUGUAUUAAUAGUUAAUAAAAUGAAAUCUGGAAUGUUAAUAAGUUUCCCGUGUAUUUUAGAGAAAAAUGAAACAAGGAAUAAUUAUGACUGAAAGGUAAAUUUGGAGGGAAAAUCUGGUGCCCUUUUUGUUUGCCGAUUAUGCAUGAUAUUAUUUUGCAAGUAUUAGAGUAGAGUAUUCAUGAUGAUUUCAUACUGGUAUUAUGUGAAAUCUAAAUCAUUGUAUAUUAGUUUCUAGUGAAUUGAGGGUAUUUCUCUGCUGAAAUUACUGACCGGCGUAUGAUAUGCUUGUUUACAUACCCCGGCUAUUCUUCCAUUUGAUUUUUCCUUUUUGAGUUCAUCUACCUCUUUUAAGAAGUAAUUAUGUACUUGUUUUGUCUGACCUUAACCUUUCAUGUAUUAAUAGUUAAUAAAAUGAAAUCUGGAAUGUUAAUAAGUUUCCCGUGUAUUUUAGAGAAAAAUGAAACAAGGAAUAAUUAUGACUGAAAGGUAAAUUUGGAGGGAAAAUCUGGUGCCCUUUUUGUUUGCUGAUUAUGCAUGAUAUUAUUUUGCAAGUAUUAGAGAAGAGUAUUCAUGAUGAUUUCAUACUGGUAUUAUGUGAAAUCUAAAUCAUUGUAUAUUUCUCCGCGAGUGGCCAGGGCUGCUGCCCUCCAACUUGGAGGGCAGCAGUUCGAACCCCCACAAUGCUAUUGUGGGGGUAUUUCCUUUCUCAAUUAAUUUGAGUGAAGGUAGUCUUCUCCCUUACCCAUGAGUGAGGAGUAGACAUCCCUCGAAUAUUUGUGAGGGUUAAAAUAUGGGCAGAGCUCCAUUAGCAUUGAUGUCAGUUGGUCCCAGUAAUAGUCUGAUUUGUAAAUAUCAGUAAUAGUCUCAUGUAUAUGAGUUGUAAUCUGAGCAAUAGUCUCAUGUAAUAAAAAAAAAAAAAAGAAGUAAUUAUGUACUUGUUGUGUCUGACCUUAACCUUUCAUGUAUUUUUCUCAAUUAACUGCACUGUAUACGUCAAUGCUCAUCAUAUUUACAUAUUAGUCAUUCUUUGAAUGCAACAGGUGCCAC
rnacentral:lncRNA from 1 species